AGCGGCUCGCGGUCACCACUUCUUUCAGGUCACUCUCGGGUUUCCCGGCCACCAUAAAGGGCCACGUCUGCAGGAGAGAAGAGAGUGGAGGAGAAGCUGACAUAACCCCUCCAACCUCCUUCAACCACCACCCUGAUACAUCAGAAACCACCAAUAUUGAGGCAAGACCCUCCAUCAGAAAAAGACUGACUUGCUGAAAGCUCCAGUGAUGGUUAGCAUUUUUCAUCAAUAAGGAUAUACCAAAAGAAAACAGACCAGCCUCUUUCCUGAUAAGAAAAGUAACCAAGAAGACCAUCCGCAAAACCAGGUUGUGAGGAUUUCUUUCUUUUUUUUUUUUUUUUUGUCAUGCGUCAAAAUAUGUUCAUAUACAUUGUCUUGGGCUGAUGAGAUAGGUUAUCUCUUAUGGAAAUUCAAAGAUGUUUAUACAAAAACAGUGAACAUAUGCAUUAGUUUCUUUAUCUUUGGAAAAGAAAGAAACUAGUGAAAAUGGAAAUUCCAGAAAUGUCUGCUUCUGAGAAUGAGAUCCGUUUCAAUUUUUCCAGCGCAUAACAAAACACUUAAAAAACUUAAGCCUUUAACUUCACAUACCAGGCUUGAGAAAAUUCACAAGAGCAACCUGGAUUUAGGGGGUUUAGACCAAGCCUUUGAAGUGUCUUAAAUCUCCUUGAGACCUAAAACACUGUUUAUAACCAACAGUUGCUUUGUAAAAACAAUGUUGAUGAGAUGUUUUUUAAUUUCAUUGUUAAAUUUUUAUAAGAAUAUGUGGGUUGGGAAAAGGGAGCAUCAGUAUUACAAGAUGAUUUCAUAAAUUUGAUUUAUUGAAUCUCAGAAAUGGGGAACAGGAUGCUUAGCAGGAAAGGGAUUUAUCAGUAGCUUUGUGUCCAGGAAGCAAAUGAAAAUAUGGGUAGCUGUAUUAACUACAGGUAGACCUAAUAAUUUCUGAAUGUUAGUAUAAGACAGGUAACACAGAAUCUUUAAUGGGUUUUUUUCUGUGGGUCUCUUUUGUUAUUGUCACGGAACCCAGUAUUUUUGGUGAACAUGACCUAGACUCUAUGGAAAAUACUCUAUCCACUGAUAUAUGUUUGGCCACAACAUUUUGUUUUUAAAGCAAAAUGUAAAUUUUAUUUAAAAGAGAAUCUGUGAAGAAAACUAGUUUGGGAAUGAAGUCUGUAUUAGUAUUUGGAACUGCUGACAGAGAGAGUUUUUUUCCUGAGAAAAACAUUUCACUAUCUUGCUGUGCUGUAUAUGUAUUUUUCACAUUUGUUUUGUAACUCACUUGUUCCUGGUUAUGUGUUUCUGUAACAUAGUCACUUUCUGGUAAAGAGAAGGCCACAGAAUGGAAGGAGAUGCAAUAAAGUCAUCCCCUUCCAAAAUGUUGAUUUCUUUUUUCUCAGCUAUUAAUUAGUCUGUUGGUCACUUUUUUCAUAAAGUAACAUCUCCUAGAAAACCAUGGACAGAAAUUUAUGCCACUGCUGAAUCCCAAAUAAAUAAAAAAGGUUAUAAUUA